rnacentral:rRNA from 14 species
UUAUAUCCACAUAACGCCUGGCUUAAGUUACUUUGAAUAAAUCAAAGUGCUCAAAACAAGCUUUUGCUUGAAUAGAUGUGCAUGGGAUAACGCAAGAAGAUCAAUAUCGAAUCUGUUGGUUGAAUCGAUAUGGGUAAUGAUUAAUAGAGAUUGACGGGGGCAUUUGUAUUUGAAAGCGAGAGGUGAAAUUCUGUGACCUUUCAAAGACAUGCUAAAGCGAAAGCACUUGCCAAGAAUGUUUUCACUAAUCAAGAACGAAAGUUAGAGGCUCGAAGGCGAUUAGAUACCGCCCUAGUUCUAACCAUAAACAAUGCCAACUAACAAUCUUGUGUAGUUUAAGUUGAAACUAACAAGGAAGUUUUCGGAAAACCAAAGUUUUUGGGUUCCGGGGGUAGUAUGGUUGCAAAGCUGAAACUUAAAGUAAUUGACGGAGUGGCACCACCAGGAGUGGAGCCUGC